GCGAAGUAUGUGCUGCAAAACACAGUUUAGAAAGGUGAAAAUACUGCAAACAUCAGCACCAGUUAGUACUACUUCACUUAUUUAUUAUUACUUUUUAAUUGAUAAAAAAAAUGUUAUCAACACAGAAAGUUGCAACUGAAGACGGCGCUACCAUCUUCCCUAGCUAUGUCAGAAGCAGUGUAUUGAGACGUAACUCUUCUUGAAACUGGUUUGCUUCGAAGAUCCAGCGGAUAUAAGUCAUAAUGGAUAAGGGGAAACUGCCAGGGCCCUCCUCUGCAGAUGGCAGAGAGGAGGUGGACACAGCAGGUAUAGAUGAGGAGGAGAUGCGGAGACAGAGGCUGAUCAUGCACCAGAGGAGUAGCGAGGAGCAGCACCAACUGCACAUGAAAAUGGUGUCCGGUGCGAUGGAUUUCUACAGGCAGAGCAUCGAAAAGGGGCAUGUGAGCAGUCAGUGGGCAGAGCCAGUCUUUCCAUUCCCAAUGCUGACCGAUGAACGCAGACGACGAAUGAACUGGAUGUGUCUGAAGCAUUUCAUGGAGAGUCGUCCGCUCUCGCCCAUCCCAAGUCCCUGGUUAGACUCCAUCGUUGGACGAGUUCCAUCAAAACUUCAAGAUAGUUUUGAGAAGUAUUGCCUGCUCCAAGAGCUGUGCAAGGAAGUCAGAGAAAUGUUUUAUGACGUUAUCAUGGAGCACAUAGUGGACACAAUCCUAAAGAACCCAGAAACUGAAGGAACCAUCAUCGCAAAACAGACAUCUGUCAAGCUAAAGAUUCUGGAGUAUUCUUUUUUAUGGAGGAGCAGCUUCACUGACAGCCGGAAGAUGAUCAAGAAGAGUCUGAACAUCCUUCAUCCAGUCAUGCAAACUCUUUUGGAUCUGUGCUACUCUACCUUCACCCCAAUAGUGCUCAUCAAUUUCCCCACUUACAAAGUUUCAGGCCCUUUUGACUGCAAAGCCCUUCUAAAGAAAGUAACAGAAGACUGCCGGAGGCAAGAGAACCACAUCAUGAACACCUGGUUUCCAAAGGUCAUACACCUACUAACUAAUGAGGAAACUUUGGAGGGCGUGAGAGAAGAAAGAGUAGAUGCCUUCUUUAACUGUGCAUCAACACUGUUGUCGAACCAGCUGAAAUCUUUUCUUCAGAGGAGUGUCGAGGAGUUUGUGGACUUGUUUGAGCCUUUUGAUGAUUGCUGCACGCCACUCUAUUGUAUGGCGCUGACAUUCAAGCGAGAAAAGAUGGGCAUUUUCCCCACUCUGGAUGAUCUGGAAGUUGCUAUAUUUGAAAUUCUUAACUGCAUCACGAACACAUUGCAGAAAGUGAAGACAAUUCAGUCGUGGCUGACACCCAUCUCUAUUCGAUAUGUGGACGCUAAAGUUGCCGAUCAUGUCCUCGCUUGGGCUCGGGAGACCGUCAAGCGUGUUGUACGAGGGAAUCUAGAGGAGCCUGACCAACAUUUCAAGACUUUUGUCAACAAUUACAGCUGGUUGGUCGACGGAACUGCAAAAGCCAGAGUGGAAAAGUUCAUCAAAGGGAAUCACUCUUUCGACCAAUACAUCGAGAAAGUGGAAGAGUUCAGCAACCUGACCAUAGAAAUCCUGAACCUGUCCGAUAAAGUCAACUUCGCCAUGGUCCAUCUGGACUGUGAGGAGCUCAAACAGGGGCUGGUCAAUAAAGCGAAACACUUUGCUCAGGUCCUUCUGAAUAAAAUGAUGGAUGAUCUCCGGGAUCAGAAUUUACAGAUCUGCUCUGACUUUGAAACCAUCAAAGACACGGCGCUGAUGGUUCCAGAAACGACUGAGGAAAUCACUCAGAUGUUGGAGUACAUAGAGUUUACUAAAACAAAAACCAUUCCUCGGUUGAAGGAAACUAUAACGGAUGCUUCAUACCGUCUCAUCUACCUCCUGGAUUUCCACGUCAUGGAUAAAGACGACCCUGAAUUGAACACCACAGUCUUCCUCUGGCUGCAGAAAAUGAUGGAUAUAUUUGACAACAAUGUGGAGCUCGUCCAAAAGUCGAAAGAUAAGGAACAGAAGUCACUACUAGAAAGACGAACGAAAUUAGUGGAACAUUUGGAAAAGUUGGGGAAGAGUAUAGAGAUUUUGCCUUAUUACUGCGAGCUUCAUAUGAUGGAACAGUACAUGGCAGAAGUCCGAACUUUCAAGAAACUUGUUCAGGAAGCCGAGGAUGAGAUUAUCUUCAUAAAUAAGGAGGAGAAAUUCUUUGAAUUUGAAGAAACUGAAUAUCCCGAAGCUCAAGUCAUCCAGGAGACGAUUGAGCCAUACAACAAUCUGUUUAAAUUUGUCCUCAACUGGCAGUGUUUGGAGCAAAAAUGGAUGGACGGGUCCUUUGACGACCUGGACGGCGAAAAAAUGGCGGGAAAAGUGGACGAAUGCUUCAGGGAGAUGUUCAAGAUGAUGAAGUUUUUCCAACAGAAGCCUUUCAAACCUGACGAAGAGACGGAAAAGAAGAUGGCUAGACGGAGACCGGAUGAAGAUCCAAGCAAACAGCUGAGUCCCACGAUGCAGUUGUGCACCAAUGUUAUGAAUCAGAUUAAAGAAUUUAGGGAAUAUAUCCCGAUUGUGUGCGUGCUGUGCAAUCAAGGGUUGAGACCACGUCACUGGGAAAAAAUGUCUGAAAUUGUGGGCUUUGACCUGACGCCGAAUGAAAGCACCACGCUUCGCUCAGUGCUAGCAAACAAUCUGACAAUCCACUUAGAACCGCUCGAGUCCAUCAGUGCUGCUGCAACUAAAGAAUUCUCACUGGAGAAGGCCAUGCAAACCAUGCUCACCAUCUGGAACAAUAUAUCCUUCAACCAUCAACUCUACAGAGAGACAGGAGUGUCAAUCCUGACCGCAGUGGAUGAGAUCCAGACCAUGCUGGAUGACCAGAUUGUGAAGACUCAAACCAUGAGGAGCUCUCCCUUCAUCAAGCCUUUUGAGACGGAGAUCCGGGAAUGGGAGGCACGUCUGCUUCACAUACAAGAGACGAUAGAUGAGUGGCUGAAGGUACAAGCUUCCUGGCUCUACCUGGAGCCCAUCUUCUCCUCUCAGGACAUCAUGCAGCAGAUUCCAGAGGAGGGAAGUCUCUUUCAAAUUGUGGACAAGAACUGGAGGGAGGUCAUGAAGCACUGUGUCAAAGACUCAAAGAUUCUACCGGCAACGUCAAUGCCUGGUUUGUUGGAAAAACUGCAACAAUCCAAUGAACAUUUGGACACUAUAAUGAAAGGGCUAAAUGCCUAUCUGGAGAAGAAGCGUCUCUUUUUCCCAAGGUUCUUCUUCCUGUCCAAUGAUGAGAUGUUGGAAAUCCUGUCCGAGACCAAGGAUCCUUUGCGAGUACAGCCCCAUCUUAAAAAGUGCUUUGAGGGUAUUUCCAAACUGGAUUUCCUUCCAAAUCUGGACAUCCAGGCCAUGUAUAGCAGUGAGGGAGAGCGUGUGGCGUUGAUCGACCUCAUAUCGACAGCUGAAGCCAAGGGAGCCGUGGAGAAGUGGCUGGUGCAGGUGGAAGACUUGAUGCUGCGCAGCGUCAGAGAUGUCAUCGCGCGUUCCAGACUGGCCUAUGCUGAGACUAAAAGAAGCCAGUGGGUGAAAGAGUGGCCUGGGCAGGUGGUUCUCUGCACCUCUCAGAUCUUCUGGACGUUGGAAGUCCAUGAAGCCAUCAGAUCUGGCCCUGGGGGUUUAGAGAAUUACUAUGAUGAGCUUCAGAGCCAACUGAAUGACAUUGUGGAACUGGUGAGAGGGAAACUGGCCAAGCAAACACGAACCACUCUUGGAGCUCUGGUCACCAUUGACGUUCACGCCAGGGACGUUGUCAUGGAGCUCAUUGAGAAAGGUGUUUCCAAAGAAUCAGACUUCCAGUGGCUCGCACAGCUCCGAUAUUACUGGGCCACCGAUAACGUCCGUGUCCGCAUCAUUAACUGUGACGUGAAGUACGCCUAUGAGUACCUGGGGAACUCCCCACGCUUGGUCAUCACCCCACUGACGGACAGAUGCUACAGAACACUGAUUGGGGCGUUUUACCUGAAUUUAGGGGGGGCUCCUGAGGGUCCUGCUGGAACUGGAAAGACUGAAACCACCAAGGACCUUGCCAAAGCCCUGGCUGUGCAGUGUGUGGUCUUCAACUGCUCCGAUGGGUUGGAUUACCUGGCAAUGGGCAAAUUCUUCAAAGGCCUGGCUUCAUCUGGCGCCUGGGCCUGCUUUGAUGAAUUCAAUCGCAUCGAGCUUGAGGUGUUGUCUGUGGUGGCGCAGCAGGUCCUCUGCAUCCAGAGAGCCAUUGAGCUGAAGCUGAAGCAGUUUGACUUUGAGGGCACCAUGUUAAAGCUUAACCCCAACUGUUUUGUGUCAAUCACGAUGAAUCCAGGCUACGCAGGACGAUCAGAGCUUCCUGACAAUCUUAAGGUUCUGUUCCGAACUGUCGCCAUGAUGGUUCCUAACUAUGCAUUGAUCGCAGAGAUCUCACUGUAUUCGUACGGCUUCUUAAACGCCAAGCCUCUCUCUGUCAAGAUCGUGAUGACAUACAGGCUUUGUUCUGAGCAGCUGUCGUCCCAGUUCCACUACGACUACGGCAUGCGGGCCGUGAAAGCUGUUCUUGUGGCCGCCGGAAACCUGAAGCUCAGUUUCCCUGAUGAGAACGAAGACAUAUUGCUCUUGAGGUCCAUUAAGGAUGUUAAUGAGCCCAAGUUCCUUUCGCACGAUAUCCCACUGUUUAAUGGAAUUACAAGUGAUUUGUUUCCUGGAAUCACACUCCCAGUGGCAGACUACAGGUUGUUUUUGGAGGCCGCUGAAAAAUGCUGUAAAGAACACAAUGUCCAGGCAACGGAGGUCUUCAUACAGAAGAUGAUUCAGACCUAUGAAAUGAUGAUCGUCAGACAUGGGUUUAUGCUGGUUGGAGAACCCUUCGCUGGGAAGACUAAAGUGCUGCAAGUUCUUGCUGACACCUUAACAUAUAUGAAUAAAAAAGGAUACGGCGAGGAAGAGAAGGUCAUCUACAGAACUUUGAAUCCAAAGUCCAUUACCAUGGGGCAGCUUUUUGGACAGUUUGAUCUGGUGUCCCAUGAGUGGACAGAUGGGAUCGUGGCCAACACCUUCCGUGAGUUUGCAUCAGCUGAGACGCCGGAGCGUAAAUGGGUGGUGUUUGACGGUCCCAUUGACACUUUAUGGAUCGAGAGCAUGAACACUGUGCUGGAUGACAACAAAAAGUUAUGCUUGAUGAGUGGAGAGAUCAUCCAAAUGUCCAAUCAGAUGAGUCUUAUAUUUGAAGCUAUGGAUCUCUCACAGGCCUCGCCUGCCACAGUCAGCCGGUGUGGUAUGAUCUACAUGGAACCGUCUCAGCUAGGCUGGGAGCCGUUGGUCAUCUCCUGGAUGAACACCCUCCCUGAAACCUUCCAAGAGCCAGAGUGCACCACGCUGAUGAUGGAUCUGUUUCACUGGUUACUGCCACCAUCCAUUCGGAUGUUGAAUAAAAACUGCAGAGAGGUGGUUCCAACCAGCCCCAGUAAUACAGCAGUGUCCUUGUGCCGCUUGUUUGAGAUGCUGCUCACAGAGCCAGUUAAGACGGAGCCAGAUGAAAAAACUCUGCGUGUUUGGAUCAUGGCAGCCUUCGCAUUCUCCCUGGUGUGGUCUGUCGGUGGCAGCUGUGAUACAAGCAGCAGGGAGAAGUUCAGUGACUUUGUGAAGGUGAUGCUGACAGGAAAGUCGGAAGAGCUUCCAAUCCCAGACACUUUGGGGAAAUGGGAAUGUCCCUUUGACGACAAAGGCAUGGCGUACGACUACAGCUACGAGUUUAAAGGAAGAGGCAGGUGGGUUCACUGGAAUGAAGCCAUCCAGGACAUCGAACUGGGGGACAAGAACACAAAAGUGCAGGACAUAAUUGUCCCGACAAUUGACACAGUCCGUUACACCUACCUGAUGGAUCUUUGUCUCACAUAUGCAGUGCCCAUUCUUUUUGUGGGUCCGACUGGAACUGGAAAGUCAGUCUACGUGAAGGAAAAGUUGAUGAACAAUCUGGAUAGAGAGCUUUACAUACCCUUUUUCAUCAAUUUUUCAGCACGCACAAAUGCGAACCAAACACAGAAUAUCAUGAUGUCCUGGUUGGAUAAGAGAAGGAAGGGGGUCUUUGGUCCCCCAAUGGGAAAGAAGUGUGUCAUCUUUGUGGAUGAUAUGAGCAUGCCUGCUCUGGAGCAGUUUGGAGCUCAGCCUCCUGUGGAGCUGCUACGACAGUUUAUAGACCAUGGGAACUGGUAUGACCUGAAGGACACCUCCAGAAUCACCCUGGUGGACCUCCAGCUCAUCUCAGCUAUGGGUCCCCCUGGUGGAGGACGAAACGCUGUAACAUCUCGAUUCCUGCGUCACUUCAACAUUGUCAGUAUCAACGCCUUCAGUGAUGACACAAUGGUUCGCAUCUUUUCAAACAUAGUGGCCUUCUAUCUCAAAAAUAACGCAUUCCCUCCUGAGUAUUUCACCGUGGGCAACCAAAUAGUGACGGCCACCAUGGAGGUGUACAAGAAGGCGAUGGAGAACUUGCUUCCCACUCCAGCAAAGUCCCACUACACUUUCAACCUCAGAGACUUCUCUCGUGUCAUCCAAGGCUGUUUACUCUUGAAGAAGCAGUCACUGGAGAACAAACGCACUAUGAUACGGCUGUUUGUCCACGAGGUCUUCAGAGUGUAUUACGACCGCCUCGUGGACGACCAAGAUCGAGCAUGGCUCUACGAGCUGAUCCAAGGCAUCCUGAAGGAUCAUUUCAAAGAGUCAUUUGACCAAGUGUUCGAACACCUGAAACAAGGAAACAAAUUGGUGGAGCAGGACUUGCUCAGUCUGCUGUUCGGUGACUACAUGGAACCUGACCUUGAGGACGACGCACGCUUGUAUAUGGAGAUUCCUUCCAUGGACAGUUUUGCUGAGAUUGUGGAAGGUUGUCUUGAGGAAUUCAACCAAACCCAACGAAAUCGGAUGAGUCUAGUGAUAUUCCGCUAUGUGCUGGAGCAUCUCUCACGCAUCAGCCGUGUGCUAAAGCAACCUGGAGGCAAUGCUCUUCUUGUGGGAGUAGGAGGCAGCGGACGCCAGUCCAUCACCCGUUUGGCCGGGUUCAUGGCCCACAUGAACAUUUUCCAGCCUCAAAUCUCAAAGAGCUACGGGAUGCAGGAGUGGAGAGACGAUGUUAAGAUGCUGCUGAAAAACGCUGGGGUGAAAGGUCAGAAAACAGUGUUCUUGCUAACUGAUGCUCAGAUUAAGGACGAGGCUUUUCUGGAAGAUGUGGACAGUGUUUUGAACACCGGAGAAGUGCCCAAUCUGUUUGCUGUGGACGAAAAACAGGAAAUCAUGGAGACAGUACGUCCUUUAGCCCAAGCAGGGAACAAGAAUCUGGAGUUGAGUCCUUUGAGUCUCUUUGCCUACUAUGUGUCACGCUGCAGAGCAAACCUGCACAUCAUUGUGGCCUUCAGUCCAAUUGGAGAUGCUUUCCGAAAUCGCUUGAGACAGUUCCCCUCCCUCAUUAACUGCUGUACCAUCGACUGGUUCCAGCCCUGGCCUGAAGAAGCUCUCGAGCGUGUCGCUAAUUCUUUCUUGGAGUCUCUAGAAAUGAAUGACAGGGAGAGACAGGAUGUUGUGGCAAUCUGCAAAACAUUCCACACCACUGCAAAAGACCUUUCAACCAAGUUCCUGACUGAUCUAGGGCGACAUAAUUACGUGACACCGACAUCCUAUCUGGAGCUGAUCGCAGCUUUUCGUCAGCUGCUCACUCAGCAAAGGGACAAUGUUUUGAAAGCCAAGCAACGGUACACCAAUGGUCUGGACAAGCUUGCCUUUGCGGAAUCUCAGGUUGGGGAGAUGAAAAAAGAGCUGAUUGAUUUGCAGCCGAAACUGGAGCAGGCCAAAAUUGAAAACACGAACAUGAUGAAGGUGAUUGAAGUGGAGUCUGUGGAGGUGGAAGCUAAAAGCAAAGUGGUGCGGGUGGAUGAAGAAGCGGCGACUUUGAAGGCCGCAGGUGCUCAGGCGCUGAAGGAUGAAUGUGAGAGCGACUUGGCUGAGGCCAUCCCGGUUUUGGAGGCUGCUCUUGGCGCCCUAAACACAGUGACUGCCUCUGAUGUCACGAUUGUGAAGUCCAUGAAAAACCCCCCUGCUGGUGUGAAGCUGGUGAUGUCAGCUGUCUGCGUCAUGAAGGAAAUCAAACCGGACAGGAUCGCUGAUCCAAACACGCCAGGAAAGAAGAUCAUGGACUACUGGGGUCCAAGCAAGAAGUUGCUGGGUGAUAUGAACUUUCUGAGAGAUCUUAAAGAGUAUGACAAAGAUAAUAUUCCGGUCGCUGUGAUGCAAAAGAUCCGAAGUGAGUUUAUCAAUAACGAAGACUUCGACCCUGCAAUCGUGGCUAAGGCCUCCUCUGCUGCUGCCGGACUCUGCAAGUGGAUCAAAGCGAUGGAGUCUUACGACAGGGUGGCAAAGGUUGUGGCUCCUAAAAAAGAGAAGCUUGCAGAGGCUGAGGAGUCCUUGGCUGCCACCAUGGCCGUUCUGGAUGAAAAAAGAGCAGAACUGAAAGAGGUCAUGGACCGUCUGGCUGCUCUUGAGAAGACCUUUCAGGAGAAAACAGAUGAGAAAGCACAGCUGGAGCAACAGGUGGAGAUGUGUGCCCGGAAGUUGGAGAGAGCUGAGAAGCUCAUUGGUGGACUGGGUGGAGAGAAGACCAGAUGGUCCAAUGCAGCGGAUGAUCUACAGAACACAUAUGACAACCUGACUGGAGAUGUUCUGAUCUCAGCUGGGGUCAUCUCCUACCUAGGCGCCUUCACUGUUGGAUUUAGACAGGACAUCACCAAGACAUGGACUCAGUUGUGCCAAUCCAAGAACAUCCCAUCAUCAGAUGACUUCUCGCUCAGCAAGACUUUAGGAGAUCCCAUCAAAAUCCGAGCUUGGAACAUCGCUGGUCUUCCCAGUGAUUCUUUCUCUGUGGACAAUGGCGUUGUUGUCAGCAAUUCACGUAGAUGGCCCCUGAUGAUUGACCCUCAGGGUCAGGCCAACAAGUGGGUGAAGAACUCAGAGAAGGAGAACAACUUGAAUGUGAUCAAACUGACUGACGGGGACUACAUGAGAACUCUGGAGAAUGCCAUUCAGUUCGGAACACCCUUGCUGUUGGAAAACGUCGGUGAGGAGCUGGACCCUUCACUGGAACCUCUACUGCUCAAGCAAACUUUUAAACAAGGUGGUGUUGAGUGUAUCCGGCUGGGGGAGAAUGUGAUUGAGUACUCCUUCAAUUUCCGCUUUUACAUUACAACCAAGCUGAGGAACCCCCAUUAUCUACCAGAACUGGCGACCAAAGUCACCUUGCUCAAUUUCAUGAUCACCCUAGAGGGUUUGGAGGAUCAGCUGCUGGGAAUCGUGGUGGCAAAAGAAAGACCAGAGCUGGAGGAGGAGAGAAACGCUCUGAUCUUGCAGUCGGCGGAAAACAAACGGCAGCUGAAGGAAAUCGAGGACAAGAUUCUGAUGACACUUCAGUCGUCAGAGGGCAACAUCCUUGAAGAUGAGAGCGCCAUUCAGAUCUUGGACUCUGCCAAGAUCAUGUCCAAUGAGAUCAGCCAAAAACAGCAGAUCGCAGAGAAAACUGAGAUCAAGAUUGCUGAGUCAAGAGAGGGCUACAGAUCAGUUGCCAACCACUCAUCCAUUCUGUUCUUCACCAUUGCCGACCUCACCAACAUUGAUCCCAUGUACCAGUAUUCUCUCACUUGGUUUGUCAACCUCUACAUCAAGUCAAUCGGAGACAGUGAGAAGUCUGAUGAUCUGGAAGAAAGACUGCAGAUCCUCACCGACUACUUCACCUACAACCUAUACAGCAACGUCUGCCGCUCUCUGUUUGAGAAGGAUAAACUGCUUUUCUCCUUUCUCCUCUGCUGCAAUCUGCUCCUGGCAAAAAAAGGCAUUGACUACGGCGACUUCAUGUUUUUCCUGACUGGAGGAGUUGGUCUGCAGAACACGCUUGCAAACCCUGACCCCAGCUGGCUCCAAGAAAAGAGCUGGGAUGAGAUUUGUAGAGCAAGCGAUCUCCCUGGAUUGCAAGGAGUCAAGGAAGCAUUCAUGGAGAAUGCAGCGGACUUCAGACCCAUUUAUGAAAGCAAGGACCCCUGUAACGCCCCUGUGCCAUCGCCGUGGUGCACCAAGCUCAAUGAACUGCAGCAGAUGAUCAUCGUCCGCUGCCUCAGACCUGACAAAAUAGUCCCAGCUGUGGUUAAGUAUGUCACCAUCAAGCUGGGGAAGAAGUUUGUGCAGCCGCCACCUUUCGACUUGACCAAGAGCUACCUGGACUCCAAUGCCACCAUCCCGCUUGUGUUCGUGUUGUCCCCUGGAGCUGACCCCAUGGCGAGCUUACUGAAGUUUGCAAAUGACAAGGACAUGGGUGGUAGUAAGUUCCAGUCCAUCUCCUUGGGCCAGGGUCAGGGACCCAUUGCGGCCAAGAUGAUUUUCUCUGCCAUGCAGGAUGGAACGUGGGUGUGUUUGCAGAACUGCCACUUGGCUGUCUCCUGGAUGACAAGUUUAGAAAAGAUUUGCGAGGAAUUGCACCCAGAUUCAUGUCAUCAGAAUUUCCGUCUGUGGCUCACCAGCUACCCGUCACCCAAGUUCCCAGUGACAAUCCUGCAGAAUGGGGUGAAGAUGACCAACGAGCCCCCGACUGGACUUCGACUGAACCUGCUCCAGUCUUACAUGACAGAUCCUCUGUCCGACCAAAACUUUUUUAACAACUGCCCGUCUAAGGAGUUGAUUUGGGAGAAGCUUCUGUACGGCUUGUGCUUCUUUCACGCUCUCGUUCAAGAGAGAAAAAAGUUUGGUCCUCUUGGCUGGAACAUUCCGUACGGCUUCAACGAGUCCGACCUCCAUAUCAGUAUCCGGCAGCUCCAGUUGUUUGUAAAUGAAUAUGAUGAAGUUCCCUUUGAGGCCAUAAGCUAUCUAACCGGGGAGUGCAACUAUGGAGGACGUGUGACAGACGACUGGGACCGACGGCUGCUGCUAACCAUGCUGGCUAACUUCUACAACCAGGAUGUGAUUGACAAGUCCUGCUACAAUUUCUCCCCCAGUGGGGACUACUACUCUCCUCCGAAAUCUAAAUACACCGAGUACAUCAAGUUUAUAAAAGGACUUCCUUUAAGUCAACAACCAGAAGUCUUUGGGAUGCACGAGAACGCAGACAUUUCCAAAGAUAUUCAGCAAACCAAAUUGUUGUUUGACUCACUGCUUCUCACUCAAGGAGGCGGGAGUAAAGGAGGGUCAGGGUCAGGGGGCGACAGUGCCCUCUAUGACAUCGCCAAUGAUAUCUUGACAAAGAUGCCCCCCAAUUUUGACACGGAGGCUGCUCUUGCCAGGUUUCCCGUCCUGUAUGAAGAGAGCAUGAACACCGUCCUUGUUCAAGAGAUGGAGCGCUACAACGUGCUGACCAGCACCCUGCGUGUUAGCCUGCAGAACUUGCUGAAGGCCAUCAAGGGUUUGGUGGUGAUGGACGCAGAGCUAGAAGCAAUCGCUGGCUCUUUGCUCGUAGGCAAAGUUCCAGAGAGGUGGGCCAAGCGCUCGUAUCCGAGUCUCAAACCUUUGGGGAGCUACAUCACUGACUUUCUUCUCAGACUUAAGUUUUUACAGGUUUGGUUUGAAAGCACUAAGCCCAACGUUUUCUGGUUGUCGGGCUUCUUCUUCACGCAGGCCUUUCUGACUGGAGCGAUGCAGAACUACGCCAGGAAAUAUCAGAUCCCCAUUGAUCUCUUGAGCUUUGAUUUCGAGGUUCUGCCAAUCGACGAGUCAGACACCUGCCCUGAUGAUGGUGUUUACACCAUCGGAUUGUUUUUGGACGGAGCACGGUGGGACAAAGAAAGUGGAGUCCUGAAUGAGCAGUAUCCCAAGAUUCUUUUUGACACUAUGCCAAUAAUCUGGAUUAAACCAAUUAAAAAAAUCGGCACGGCUCAGCAGGCUCAGGUGAUGUACAUGUGUCCGCUCUACAAGACCAGUGAGAGGAAGGGCACCCUCUCCACCACGGGCCACUCCACCAACUACAUCAUUUCAAUGACACUGCCCACCAGCAAUCCCCCUCAGCACUGGAUCAAGAGAGGCGUUGCAUUGCUCGCUCAGCUGGACGACUGAGAUGGGAAGGUCACCCUUAUAGUGAAGCUACUGAAGGACUGACAGAUGACCUCUGACACGAAAGAAGACUUGGACCUGUCAGAGGAUGACUUUGAUGAGGAUGAGGCAACACAAUAUAUCAUUGAACAAAGCCUGAUUCAAUACCGGAAACUAAAAGGACUCAAUCCAAGGUCUGUUUUAAGUGUUAACUGUCCGUUGUAAUUUCUUAUCAUACUUUUUCUUUUAUGAAGUGACGGGGAUCUAAGUGACAAUCCAGAUGAGAUUUUUAAGGCAAUCAAGGAAGGUGAUGUGGAUUUGAUCAACACUCUGGCCGAACAGUCGGAG